AGUAACGCGUGGGCAACCUGCCCCGCACUGGGGGACAACAGCCGGAAACGGCUGCUAAUACCGCAUAUGCGCACAGCUUUGCAUGAAGCAGUGUGGAAAACUCCGGUGGUGCGGGAUGGGCCCGCGUCUGAUUAGCUAGUUGGCGGGGCAACGGCCCACCAAGGCGACGAUCAGUAGCCGGCCUGAGAGGGUGGACGGCCACAUUGGGACUGAGACACGGCCCAAACUCCUACGGAAGGCAGCAG
rnacentral:rRNA from 1 species